GGUUUAGAGUUUGAUUCCAUGGCUCAGAACGAACGCUGGCAGCGUGGAUUAGGCAUGCAAGUCGAACGGAAGCUGUUUUGAACAAUUCUUCGGAAAAGUGAUGAAUGGCAAGAGUGGCGGAAGGGUUAGUAUCGCGUGGGCAAUCUGCCCUCAAGUUGGGAAUAGCCCGCCGAAAGGCGGAUUAAUGCCGAAUGUGGUUUGUGGUCGCAUGGCCGCAACACUAAAGGUGGGGAUCUUCGGACCUACCGCUUGGGGAGGAGCCUGCGUACGAUUAGCUAGUUGGUGAGGUAACGGCCCACCAAGGCUAUGAUCGUUAGCUGGUCUGAGAGGAUGGUCAGCAACACUGGGACUGAGACACUGCCCAGACUCCUACGGGAGGCUGCAGUCGAGAAUCAUUUGCAAUGCGCGAAAGCGUGACAAUGCGACGCUGCGUGGAGGAUGAAGGCCUUCGGGUUGUAAACUCCUGUCGGGACGGAAAAAUUGACAAUUGGAUAAUACCUGAUUGUGUUGAAGUACCUCCAGA
rnacentral:rRNA from 1 species